GGCGUAAAGGGCUCGCAGGCGGUUUCUUAAGUCUGAUGUGAAAGCCCCCGGCUCUACCGGGGAGGGUCAUUGGAAACUGGGGAACUUGAGUGCACAAGAGGAGAGUGGAAUUCCACGUGUAGCGGUGAAAUGCGUAGAGAUGUGGAGGAACACCAGUGGCGAAGGCGACUCUCUGGUCUGUAACUGACGCUGAGGAGCGAAAGCGUGGGGAGCGAACAGGAUUAGAUACCCUGGUAGUCCACGCCGUAAACGAUGAGUGCUAAGUGUUAGGGGGUUUCCGCCCCUUAGUGCUGCAGCUAACGCAUUAAGCACUCCGCCUGGGGAGUACGGUCGCAAGACUGAAACUCAAAGGAAUUGACGGGGGCCCGCACAAGCGGUGGAGCAUGUGGUUUAUUUCGAAGCAACGCUAAGAACCUU
rnacentral:rRNA from 1 species